AGAAAUUAGGCUUUGCCAGAUGUAAUUUUUUGGGGGGAGGAAAAAAAAGCGGUAUACAGCGGCCGACAGCGCUGUAUACAACGCUAGACUGGUGUCUAAUAAGCAAGUAAAUAAGGCAGAAAAUAGAGAAACGCACUGAGAGAUAGAGCUGUGCGAUUUUAUUAUCUGCAUACUUACCGUGAACCCUUUACAUUGUUCUUCAUUUUGUCAGUAGUAAUAUAGGUGCUCUUGUUUAGCAGGCAAAAAAAGAGCACCUAUAUUACUUCUUUUGCCAUUGUUCUAUUAUGUAUUUUUGUUCUAUUGUUAAGUGUCCUUGGGUGUCUUAAAAGGCACUUUAUAAAUAAAUAAAUAUGUCUGUGAAGGUUCUCAGUCAUCCGGGUCAUCGUAGUCUAAGGAGUUUGGAAAGAAAAGCGUCUGGACUUCUUUAAGUUGCUUGAACACGUUUCACCUCUCAUCCGAGAAGCUUCUUCAGUUCUAAUGGUCAAAUGGUGGAGAGUCCCAGAUUUAGGACACCCAGUGGGAGACAAGAGGGACAAAGGGAAGGUGCACCGUGGUCCUAAACACAACAGAUUACCACACAAAGAUUACUACUCUCCUCAGUGACAACAAUACCUACGAAGCCUUAAAGCGAGACCCCACAAGCAGCUACAAAAAGAAAGUUAUAGCUUGCCUUCAAGACCUUGAAAGGGACAAAAUCAUUGACCGCCUUACAUAUCACCGCCUUUACCCAGGGGAUGCCAUACCCUGCAUUUACGGACUUCCUAAGAUCCACAAAGAAGGUGUCCCACUCAGACCCAUUGUAGGUGGCAUAAACUCAGCCACUUACAACAUCUCGAAACACCUUGCUACCAUCCUAGCACCUCUUAUGGGGAACACCCCACAUCACAUCAAGAACUCCACCGACUUCAUCGACAAGGUCUAGAAACUUACCCUGGACCCAGAUGAAACCAUGGUGUCCUUUGAUGUAGUCUCCCUCUUCACUUGCAUACCCACCACGGAGGCCGUGGAGACUGUCAGAAAACGACAACAAGAAGACAGCUCCUUGGAGGACAGGACCAACUUCACACCCGAUCAGAUUUGCACACUGUUACCCUCUGCCUCACCACUACAUAUUUCAAAUACAACAAGGGUUUCUACAGACAAAAACAAGGCUGCGCCAUGGGCUCCCCGUGUCACCUAUUGUAGCCAACCUUUACAUGGAGGAAGUGGAAAGGAAGGCUCUUGGCUCUUUCAAAGGAAGAGUAACCAGCCACUGGUACAGAUAUGUAGACGACACCUGGGUCAAAAUCAAAACACAAGAAGUGGAAUCCUUCACUGCGCACAUUAACGCUGUGGAUAAAAACAUCAAGUUCACCAGGGAAGACACAAAGGACGACUGUUUGCCUUUCCUGGACUGCGCUGUGCACAUCGAAGAGAAUGGCAACCUCAACAUUGAAGUUUACCGGAAGCCCACACACAUGGACCAGUACCUCCUCUUUGACUCCCAUCACCCUCUGGAACUCAAACUUGGAGUAAUUAGGACCCUACACCACCGGGCAGAACAUGUUCCCUCUGAGCCUGAAGGGAAAAAGAAGGAACACACACAUAUAAAGGAAGCACUUAAAACAUGCGGCUAUCCUAAUUGGGCGUUUAUAAAGUCAGCAAAGAGGCACAGAAAAGAAGAUCAGACACCAGCGAGGGAGGAUAAGAAAGACAGACGCAACAACAUUGUCAUCCCCUAUGUAGCCGGUGUAUCAGAGAAACUCAGGAGGGUUCUCUCCAAGCAUGACAUCCCAGUGUAUUUCAGACCCAGCAACACGCUCAGACAGAAACUGGUUCACCCGAAAGACAAAACGCCAAAACACAGACUUAACAAUGUGGCGUAUGCUGUACAGUGCAGCGAGGAAUGCCCAGACCUCUACAUCGGAGAGACCAAACAGCCACUUCACAAGCGCAUGGCACAACAUAGAAGAGCCACCUCCACGGGACAAGACUCAGCUGUCCAUCUGGAUCUAAAGGACAAAGGUCACUCUUUCGAGGAUGCCAAUGUUCACAAUUUGGACAGAGAGGACAGAUGGUUUGAAAGAGGAGUGAAAGAAGCCAUCUAUGUCCACUGUGAGCGACCAUCUUUGAACAGAGGCGGUGGUUUAUGACACCAACUGUCUGCCAUCUAUAAUCCAGUUUUGAGAUCCCUUCCCAGACGCCUUAAGGCCCACUCACAUCCUGGGUCAUCUGACCUCAGGAAAUCACAUGAUAGGGUGGGGCCAGGUUUCACAAUGAGCUCACCCGAAACCCUGGCUGAUUGUGACCCACACCCACUUUCGCACCUUGGCUCAUGUGAUUAGGUAGAGGAUCACCAGCGUGUCCUAAAUCUGGGACUCUCCACCAUUUGACUCUUAGAACUGAAGAAGCUUCUCAGAUGAGAGGUGAAACAUCUUCAAGCAACUUAAAGAAGUCCAGACGCUUUUCUUUCCAAGCUCCUUAGACUACGAUGACCUGGAGAAUCUUCACAGACAUUUAGACAUGCUCAGUGUUUUAUGAAAAGCCACGAUAGCAGAACAGGUACUUACUAAAAAAGCUAUGCAUGCUUUACGCUAUGUUGUGAUUAAUACAAAAUGUAAAUAACUGAGUUUAGAUAUCUGAGGGGUUAUUUAAAAAAUUAUUAGUUCUCUUUAUGCAUUUUAUAGUGAGCUUAGAGCAUACCACCCUGAGCACACCCAAUUUUGUCUGAUCUCAAACGGAAAGCAGACAGUCAAUCUUCAAGCUGGCAGGAGUUAAACAUACUUAAAAACACAUCACUUGACUGUCUUAGGUAAUUAUAGGCCAAUCUCUAACCUUCCUUUUCCUUCCAAAUUUGUCAGACAAGGAGACUUCUUUCAUGUCUCUUAGGAGAGAGAGUAUUGACAAGAGUAUUGACAAUUUAGUGAUCGUAGAUCAAACAUAAAUUUGAUUUAACUUACUUAUUGUUUCUCACAUUAUUGUGGGUGAAGUUUGGCCCACUCAUCUUUAUGAUGUUGCUUCAGUUCAGAUCAGUUGAGGUUUGCUGGCAUUUAAUUCGGCUCUCUCCUGACACAGCAUUUCAGUCAGGUUGAGGUUUGACUGGGCUACUGUAACACAUUGAUUCUUUUCGUUUUCAGUCAUUCUGUUGUAGAUUUAUUGAUGUGCUUGGGUUGUUUUCCUGAUGUAUGACACAGUUUUAGUCUGUGAAACAGAUGGUGUUACAUUUGACUCUACAUUACUGUGGUAUACAAAGGAGUUGGUUGACAGAAUGGCUGUACAGAUCCUGUGGGGGCAAAACAAGCCCAACAAGCUGUGUUAAUGUGUCAUAUUCUUUUUAAAGAGAACAGGCUUUCUCCUGGUAACCCAUUGAAUAAACCAUAAAAUAUAAUUAAGA
ensembl:lncRNA